CUGGUGCAUCACUUGAGCCCAGCAAUUUGAGACCAAUCUGGGCAACAAAGUGAGACCUCCA
rfam:Gorilla gorilla gorilla genomic chromosome, chr2A, whole genome shotgun sequence